CCUACGGGUGGCUGCAGUGAGGAAUAUUGGUCAAUGGACGCAAGUCUGAACCAGCCAUGCCGCGUGCAGGAAGACGGCUCUAUGAGUUGUAAACUUCUUUUGUACGAGGGUAAAUCCCGAUACGUGUAUCGGGUUGAAAGUAUCUUACGAAUAAGGAUCGGCUAACUCCGUGCCAGCAGCCGCGGUAAUACGGAGGAUUCAAGCGUUAUCCGGAUUUAUGGGGUUUAAAGGGUGCGUAGGCGGUUUGUUAAGUUAGUGGUGAAAUCCCGGGGCUCAACUCUGGCACUGCAUCUGAUACUGGCAGGCUAGAGUUUAGUUGCGGUAGGCGGAAUGCAUGGUGUAGCGGUGAAAUGCAUAGAGAUCAUACAGAACACCGAUUGCGAAGGCAGCUUACCAAACUACGACUGACGUUGAGGCACGAAAGCGUGGGGAGCAAACAGGAUUAGAUACCCGGGUAGUC
rnacentral:rRNA from 1 species